CAAUAGCGUAUAUUAAAGUUGUUGCAGUUAAAAAGCUCGUAGUUGGAUUUCUGGUGGGAGCGAUCGGUCUGGCGCUUAGCGCGAGUACUUGCAUCGUCUCCGGCCAUCCUUGGGGAAAGUCUGUCUGGCAUUAAGUUGUCGGGCAGAGGAUCCUCAUCGUUUACUGUGAAAAAAUUAGAGUGUUCAAAGCAGGCUUAUGCCGUUGAAUAUAUUAGCAUGGAAUAAUAGGAUAGGACUUUGGUACUAUUUUGUUGGUUUGCGCACCAAAGUAAUGAUUAAUAGGGACAGUUGGGGGUAUUCGUAUUCCGUUGUCAGAGGUGAAAUUCUUGGAUUUACGGAAGACGAACUACUGCGAAAGCAUUUACCAAGGAUGUUUUCAUUAA
rnacentral:rRNA from 1 species